rnacentral:rRNA from 1 species
AACGUAGGGGGCGAGCGUUGCCCGGAUUCACUGGGCGUAAAGCGGGUGUAGGCGGUUCCUUAAGUCGGAUGUGAAAUCCUACGGCUCAACCGUGGAACUGCAUCCGAUACUGGGGAACUUGAGGACGGUAGAGGUCGGUGGAAUUCCAGGUGUACCGGUGAAAUGGGCAGAUAUCUGGAGGAGCACCAGUGGCGAAGGCGGCCGACUGGGCCGAUCCUGACGCUGAGACCCGAAAGCCAGGGUAGCGAACCGG